rnacentral:lncRNA from 1 species
AUUAAUUAUGAGCAGACAUGUGUUGUAGGCGUCCGGGCAGGCUCCUCGAGUCGUGCAGCGCGGUAACAGGUGCCUCUCCCCGGGAAGUAUGCAAAUUCCGAGGCAAGGCGAAAUAUGCCCCUGGCCGGGUUUUAUGGCAGCGAAUUAAUGAACGCAGCCCAGCCAACGAGCAAACCAGCGCCAGCAACAGGAACAGCAACAGCAACAGAAAACGGCAAACGGCAGCGAUGCACCCACGAAGGGUCAUUAUUUUGCCCGUGUCCCAGCUCCUGCUCCUGCAACACAUUGUGGCAUGGUCAGCUAGGGGUUUUGUGUUUGUGUGUGCCGUGCGGUUCGUGGUGCGGUGCGGUGCGGUGUGGCGCCUCCUCCUUCGUGUGCAAUAAUAACAAUAAUUUAUCACCCAGACCAAAAUUAUGCAUGGACUCAAUUGUGCGUGAAAUUAAAUUUUAAGCGCAAACAAGCCGACUUGUCGGCUCUGCCCCUGUUUGCUCCCAUAAUUUGGCUAAUUUCAGCCCAGUCGCUCAGCCUGCUAAUAAUUGAAAAUACUUCAAAUUGCUCAUCUCCGCCACAAAUGACAUCUCGCAGGACAGGACAGC